rnacentral:rRNA from 1 species
GACAGAGGAUGCAAGCGUUAUCCGGAAUGAUUGGGCGUAAAGCGUCUGUAGGUGGCUUUUUAAGUCUGCCGUCAAAUCCCAGGGCUUAACCCUGGACAGGCGGUGGAAACUACCAAGCUGGAGUACGGUAGGGGCAGAGGGAAUUUCCGGUGGAGCGGUGAAAUGCGUAGAGAUCAGGAGGAACACCCGUGGCGAAGGCGGCACUCUGGGUCGCACCUGACGCUGAGACGCGAAAGCGUGGGGAGCGAACGGG